GUGUGAAAUGAUGGCAUACCAUCUUUCGGGACUGACUCAAUCUUGAUGUCAAACUUACUGUAGCUGAUCACAC